CUUGAUCGUUGUGGGACGCGUAUGAAGGGACGGAAAACACGCGAUUGGCUAUCCAUACUUCGUUUUAUCUAUAAAUAUCUUAAAUUUGAACACUGUUGUUCACAUCGUAAGCAAGGAGAAAACUCUGAAGUUGUUUCAGCAGGACACUUUCAAGAUGAUGGUUGACUCAAAAUCCCGAAGACAUCAAAAAUCAACAUGAAUCCCUUUUUAAUUCUCUGGAGUCAAUGGGGUAGACGAGUCAAAGCUGAUGCAUUUACCCAGCUGUUAAGACUAAUGAAGUGCAGCGGUGAACAGCGUGCCACUCUCAUAUCCGUUUGAUGUCGGCACGUCCUUCCUUUGUACAGAGGGAACAACAUGGGGUGCUCGAUCACUUCCAAACCCUGUUCAAUCUAAAUUAAAACUCACUAAUCUUGUUAUCAUGCUGACCCCUUUCGAGACACACUUCCACAAGGCCCCUUCAUCCCCGUCAACCAAACAUUUUCAUCCAACUGAGACAUAAGGAUAUAGUAGGGAAUUAAAUGACAGUGUGGCAGUCUGAAGUGCAUGGGAACAUUGAUUUCAACAGGCCUGUUUUGAUCACGAAGGCUUUUGAGGGAUUAGGGGUUUCACUUUUUGUCCCUUUUGAUUGUUCAUACCAACUUGCAUGAUAAAAACAUCUUAGGUCCUCUGCUCAAAACCGAGGGUAAGUUUCACUCUCACUGCCAAUUUGAGACCAGGCAGUUUCGUUUUCAGUCACAUUGCUCAGGGUUAGGAUUUGGGGAUGGAAUAGGCUGUGUAUACGUCAAUGGAGCCGUGCGGAUGAACGUAUGACCUCCUCCUAAUCCUGCGAUGUGUCCUUCAUAAGACUAGGACAGGCCAGACCCUGUGCUGGAGAUGGUGAAAGUUCCAUUUCCAUAUGCAUGAGAUGAGCUGUUGUUAUUUUAAUGAAGGGCAUCCUCCCUCGAGCAAAUAAAAAAGACUGAACUGAUGCUAGACAUGCCUCUGUGAUCAGCUUUAAUGGUCUAUCUUUGUAAAGAGAUGUGGCAGAAAGGAACACAUUAGGGUGAUGCCUGUGUGUGUCUCAGGAAGUCUCAUUUGAAUCAUUACUGUGA